rnacentral:rRNA from 1 species
CAAUAGCGUAUACUAAUGUUGUUGCGGUUAAAAAGCUCGUAGUUGAACUUCUGGUAGGAGUGUCCCGGCCUUUUUGUUUUUACAAAUUGUAUGCUGUGUGACAUCUCUGGCCAUCCUUCUUCUUUGUUUAAAGAAGAUCUUUCACUGUAAAAAAAUUAGGGUGUUCAAAGCAAAAGUUUCUUUGGAAUAUAUUAGUAUGGGAUGAUAAGAUAGGCUCUAGAUGCUAUUUUGUUGGUUUGCACAUUUAGAGAAUGAUUAACAGGGACAGUUGGGGGUAUUCGUAUUUACAUGUCAGAGGUGAAAUUCUUGGAUUUUGGAAAGACGAACUACUGCGAAAGCAUUUACCAAGGAUGUUUUCAUUAA